GAUGAAGAACGCAGCGAAAUGCGAUAAGUAAUGUGAAUUGCAGAAUUCAGUGAAUCAUCGAAUCUUUGAACGCACAUUGCGCCCUCUGGUAUUCCGGAGGGCAUGCCUGUUCGAGCGUCAUUAUAACCACUCAAGCUCUCGCUUGGUAUUGGGGUUCGCGGUUCCGCGGCCCCUAAAAUCAGUGGCGGUGCCUGUCGGCUCUACGCGUAGUAAUACUCCUCGCGAUUGAGUCCGGUAGGUUUACUUGCCAGCAACCCCCAAUUUUUACAGGUUGACCUCGGAUCAGGUAGGGAUACCCGCUGAACUUAAGCAUAUCAAUAAGCGGAGGA
rnacentral:misc_RNA from 1 species